CCUACGGGAGGCAGCAGUGGGGAAUUUUGGACAAUGGGCGCAAGCCUGAUCCAGCCAUGCCGCGUGUGGGAAGAAGGCCUUCGGGUUGUAAACCACUUUUGUCAGGGAAGAAACGGCUUUUUCUAAUACAGAGAGCUAAUGACGGUACCUGAAGAAUAAGCACCGGCUAACUACGUGCCAGCAGCCGCGGUAAUACGUAGGGUGCAAGCGUUAAUCGGAAUUACUGGGCGUAAAGCGUGCGCAGGCGGCUUUGCAAGACAGAUGUGAAAUCCCCGGGCUCAACCUGGGAACUGCAUUUGUGACUGCAUGGCUAGAGUACGGUAGAGGGGGAUGGAAUUCCGCGUGUAGCAGUGAAAUGCGUAGAUAUGCGGAGGAACACCGAUGGCGAAGGCAAUCCCCUGGACCUGUACUGACGCUCAUGCACGAAAGCGUGGGGAGCAAACAGGAUUAGAUACCCUGGUAGUCCACGCCCUAAACGAUGUCAACUGGUUGUUGGACGGCUUGCUGUUCAGUAACGAAGCUAACGCGUGAAGUUGACCGCCUGGGGAGUACGGCGCAAGGUUGAAACUCAAAUGAAUUGACCGGNNGAGAGNGCGAGGACGACGACGAGGGAGGAGG
rnacentral:rRNA from 1 species